UACGGGGGGAGCAAGCGUUGUUCGGAUUUACUGGGCGUAAAGGGCGCGUAGGCGGCGCGACAAGUCACUUGUGAAAUCUCCGGGCUUAACUCGGAGCGGCCAAGUGAUACUGUCGUGCUAGAGUGCGGAAGGGGCAACUGGAAUUCUCGGUGUAGCGGUGAAAUGCGUAGAUAUCGAGAGGAACACCUGCGGCGAAGGCGGGUUGCUGGGCCGACACUGA
rnacentral:rRNA from 1 species